rnacentral:rRNA from 1 species
AACGGCCGCGGUAUCCUAACCGUGCGAAGGUAGCGUAAUCACUUGUUCUUUAAAUGAGGACUAGUAUGAAUGGCACCACGAGGGUUAAACUGUCUCCUUUUUUUAAUCAGUGAAACUAAUCUCCCCGUGAAGAAGCGGGGAUUCUUUUAUAAGACGAGAAGACCCUAUGGAGCUUUAAACAAGUUAACACCUGCUACUAAUCNNUUCACUUUCCUGAACCACCACAUUAAGUAUAGCACCUCUGAUUAACAGUUUUCGAUUGGGGUGAUCAUGGAGCAAAAAUCAACCUCCACGACGAAUAAGGAACACCUCCUUGAGCCAAAAGCUACAACUUUAAGCACUAAAAAACUAACGCACUUUGACCCAAUUCUUUGAGCAACGAACCAAGUUACCCUAGGGAUAACAGCGCAAUCCACUUUAAGAGCUCCUAUCGACAAGUGGGUUUACGACCUCGAUGUUGGAUCAGGGUAUCCCAGUGGUGCAGCCGCUACUAAAGGUUCGUUUGUUCAACGAUUAAAACCCUACGUGAUCUGAGUUCAGACCGGAGUAAUCCAGGUCAGUUUCUAUCUAUAAAGGGCUUUUUCUAGUACGAAAGGACCGAAAAAGCAUGGCCUAUAACCCAUCAAGCCAUAUAAAUUACUAUUGUUCCCAACUUAAAUAGAAGUAAACCUACCACUUAUCUCGAUAAAAGAGAAGUUAACGUA